rnacentral:rRNA from 1 species
AUUGAACGCUGGCGGCAUGCUUUACACAUGCAAGUCGAACGGCAGCGCGGGCUUCGGCCUGGCGGCGAGUGGCGAACGGGUGAGUAAUACAUCGGAACGUGCCCAGUAGUUGGGGAUAGCUCGGCGAAAGCCGGAUUAAUACCGCAUACGACCUGAGUGUGAAAGCGGGGGAUCUUCGGACCUCGCGCUAUUUGCGCGGCCGAUGGCAGAUUAGCUAGUUGGUGGGGUAAAGGCCUACCAAGGCGACGAUCUGUAGCUGGUCUGAGAGGACGACCAGCCACACUGGAACUGAGACACGGCCCAGACUCCUACGGGAGGCAGCAGUGGGGAAUUUUGGACAAUGGGCGAAAGCCUGAUCCAGCAAUGCCGCGUGUGUGAUGAAGGCCUUCGGGUUGUAAAGCACUUUUGGCGGGAACGAAAAGGACUGUGCCAAUACCACGGUUCGAUGACGGUACCCGAAGAAUAAGCACCGGCUAACUACGUG